AACGAACGCUGGCGGCAGGCUUAACACAUGCAAGUCGAACGGUUGUAGCAAUACAGCAGUGGCGCACGGGUGAGUAACGCGUGGAUAUCUGCCUUUUGGUUCGGAAUAACUCCGGGAAACUGGAGCUAAUACCGGAUGGUUCCUGCGGGAUAAAGAUUUAUCGGCCAAAAGAUGAGUCCGCGUACGAUUAGCUAGUUGGUGAGGUAAUGACUCACCAAGGCGACGAUCGUUAGCUGGUCUGAGGGGACGAUCAGCCACACUGGGACUGAGACACGGCCCAGACUCCUACGGGAGGCAGCAGUGGGAAUAUUGGAC
rnacentral:rRNA from 1 species